CAUGCGCAGUGUCUCAUUUUGGGGGAAAUUUACUUCCGGCAGCCGUAUCAGAGCCAGCCGUAGCGGUUUGCUUAACCUCCCUAAUUUGCCACACGCUGCUGCUACACGACAAUCUCGCUGCCCGUUUGGCCGCACUUGCAUUACAGCUAGCCGCUGGUGUAUGUUCUGUUUGUGUGCAGCUUCUUGUCCUUUUUUGGAAUAUUUGAACAUUGGCAGGGUCUAAAGUCGGUAGAGACUUUGUUUUAUCGAAGCUUCAAGAUGGCAGACAAGCGAUCCAACUCUCCUCCUCCACCUGCUGGAUUUAAGAAAGUGAAAACUCAUCAUUGGGAGGGUGUGAGUGAUGCACGUGCCAAACGACAACCUGUCAAUGGCCAUACAGGAGUGUAUGCAUACCACUGUGAUGACUGUAUGUGUGGAAUGGCUGGCUGGCCUUGUUACCGAGAUGGAUGUGUAUGGAGUUGCUGUGGCCAGACUGAAAAAUACAGCCAGUGCACCAAGGAUAAAGGGGCAAAAAAAAAGCGAGAAAAGAAAAGUUAACUUUUUUUCUUUCUCAGCUUACUCUUAGGAAGAUUUUUCUUCACAAUUAUGCGCUCAUUGUUAUGCAAUUAUACACAAUUAUACACUCAUUGUAUCAAUGGUAAUCUUCCUAUGAGUGAAUGACAGCUUUAUUUAAGUGGCAAUGCUCAACAAUGGUAUUACUGACAAAUAAUAUAGGAUCGUGAAACAGGAAGAAAUAGCUAUUUUGCUAUCAAAGGCCAGAGCACUCAGUCCAUGUUA